rnacentral:rRNA from 1 species
CAGCAAUAGCUCAAAUUUGAAAUCUGGCGUCUUCGGCGUCCGAGUUGUAAUUUGUAGAGGAUGCUUCUGGGCAGCCACCGACCUAAGUUCCUUGGAACAGGACGUCAUAGAGGGUGAGAAUCCCGUAUGCGGUCGGAAAGGCACCCUACACGUAGCUCCUUCGAC